ensembl:lncRNA
UAUAAAGUUAGAAUUAUGAGAUAUUAUAAAGUCAUAAUUGGGAGAUAUAAAGUAAGAAUUAUAUAUUAUAAAGUCAGAAUUAUGAGAUAUUAUAAAGUCAUAAUUAUGAGAUAUUAUAAAGUCAUAAUUAUGAGAAAUUAUAAAGUCAGAAUUAUGAGAUGUUAUAAAGUCAUAAUUGUGAGAUAUUAUAAAGUCAGAAUUGUGAGAUAUUAUAAAGUCAGAAUUAUGAGAUAUUAUAAAUCAGAAUUGUGAGAUAUAAACUUGCAAUUGUGAGGGGAAAAAAGUCAGAAUUAACAUAAAUAAAGUUGUCUCUGUUGUCAAAAUGACCUACAAACACUAGGUUUGGCUUUUCAUUUUGGACUCAAUUUAAUUAAUUUCUUUAA